CCUACGGGUGGCAGCAGUGAGGAAUAUUGGUCAAUGGCCGGAAGGCUGAACCAGCCAAGCCGCGUGAAGGACGAAGGUGCCAAGCAUUGUAAACUUCUUUUGUCAAGGGACAAAAUCAGGCACGAGAGCCUGACCGAGGGUACUUGAAGAAAAAGCAUCGGCUAACUCCGUGCCAGCAGCCGCGGUAAUACGGAGGAUGCGAGCGUUAUCCGGAUUUAUUGGGUUUAAAGGGUGCGUAGGCGGUCUGUUAAGUCAGCGGGAAAAGCCCGGGGCUCAACCCCGGCGAGCCGUUGAAACUGGGUGUCUUGAGAUGUCGAGAGGUAUGCGGAAUGCGCGGUGUAGCGGUGAAAUGCUUAGAUAUUGCGCAGAACUCCGAUUGCGAAGGCAGCAUACCGGCGGCGAUCUGACGCUGAGGCACGAAAGCGUGGGUAUCGAACAGGAUUAGAUACCCUAGUAGUC
rnacentral:rRNA from 1 species